UACGAAGGGGGCUAGCGUUGCUCGGAAUCACUGGGCGUAAAGCGCACGUAGGCGGAUCUUUAAGUCAGGGGUGAAAUCCUGGAGCUCAACUCCAGAACUGCCUUUGAUACUGGGGAUCUCGAGUCCGGAAGGGGUGAGUGGAACUCCGAGUGUAGAGGUGAAAUUCGUAGAUAUUCGGAAGAACACCAGUGGCGAAGGCGGCUCACUGGUCCGGUACUGACGCUGAGGUGCGAAAGCGUGGGGAGCAAACAGG
rnacentral:rRNA from 1 species